rnacentral:rRNA from 1 species
GACGAACGCUGGCGGCGUGCUUAACACAUGCAAGUCGAACGGACAGGCCCUGCUUUUGCGCGGUUCUCGAGUGGCGAACGGGUGAGUAAAACGUGAGUAACCUGCCCUUGACUUUGUGAUAACACCAGGAAAAUCGGGCUAAUACCGGAUAGAAGCUACUGCUGCAUGGUGGUGGAUGGAGAGUUUCGGCGGUUGGGGAUGGACUCGAGGGUUAUGAGCUUGUUGGUGGGGUAGUGGCUUACAAGGGCUUCGACGGGUAGCCGGCAUGGGAGGUUGGCCGGGGACCAUGGUACUGAGAGAGGGCCCAGACGGCAACCGGAGGCAGCGGGGGAGAACCUUGCAGAGUGGGCGGACGCCUGAUGCAGCAGCGCUGGGUGCGUGAUGACGGCCUUUGAGUUGUAAACCGCUGUCGCCGGAGACGAAGCGGGAGUGACGGUAAUUGGUAAAGAAGCACCGGCUAACUACGUG